rnacentral:rRNA from 1 species
GCAAAGAUUACCCCUUGUACCUUUUGCAUAAUGAAUUAACUAGUAUAAGACUUAACAAAAUGAAUUUUAGCUAAGCAGCCCGAAACCAGACGAGCUACUCACAAACAGUUUACCAAGAACUAACUCAUCUAUGUGGCAAAAUAGUGAGAAGAUUUGUAAGUAGAGGUGACAUGCCUAACGAGCCUGGUGAUAGCUUGGUUUGUCCAGAACAAUGAAUCUAAGUUCAGCUUUAAAGAUACCAAAAAUUCAAAUAAACCCCACUGUAGCUUUAAAAGUUAGUCUAAAAAGGUACAGCCUUUUAGAAACGGAUACAACCUUGACUAGAGAGUAAAAUUUAACACUACCAUAGUAGGCCUAAAAGCAGCCAUCAAUUAAGAAAGCGUUAAAGCUCAACAACAAAAUUAAAUAGAUUCCAACAACAAAUGAUUAACUCCUAGCCCCAAUACUGGACUAAUCUAUUAUAGAAUAGAAGCAAUAAUGUUAAUAUGAGUAACAAGAANAAUUUUCUCCUUGCAUAAGUCUAAG